AUUGAACGCUGGCGGCAGGCUUAACACAUGCAAGUCGAACGGUAACAUAAAGAAGCUUGCUUCUUUGAUGACGAGUGGCGGACGGGUGAGUAAUGCUUGGGAAUCUAGCUUAUGGAGGGGGAUAACUACGGGAAACUGUAGCUAAUACCGCGUAAUGUCGAAAGAUUAAAGUGUGGGACCUACGGGCCACAUGCCAUAGGAUGAGCCCAAGUGGGAUUAGGUAGUUGGUGAGGUAAAGGCUCACCAAGCCGACGAUCUCUAGCUGGUCUGAGAGGAUGACCAGCCACACUGAGACUGAGACACGGCCCAGACUCCUACGGGAGGCAGCAGUGGGGAAUAUUGCGCAAUGGGGGCAACCCUGACGCAGCCAUGCCGCGUGAAUGAAGAAGGCCUUCGGGUUGUAAAGUUCUUUCGGUAGCGAGGAAGGCAUUUAGUUUAAUAGACUAGGUGAUUGACGUUAACUACAGAAGAAGCACCGGCUAACUCCGUGCCAGCCGCCGCCGUAA
rnacentral:rRNA from 1 species